rnacentral:lncRNA from 1 species
AAUACAUGAAGUUUAAUAUCCCCAAAUCAUUACAAUAUGAACUAAACGUUACAUGUUGCCAUUCCCUUACGCUUGAAUGGUUUCCAUGCGAUUGCUAUGAAUAGUAUAUGUUGUCGGAAUGCCUAUGAUAUUAGAAUAUGAGAUUUAUGACUUGAUUAUAAGCAUUCCUAUUCAUAAUAGAUAUUAUGAUGACCACGUACUUCAUAAAAUCCCCCACUCAUUUAUUAUGGAUUCUUAUUGAUGGUCGUGUACUGAAGAAAUUCAAGUUGUGUCAGUUUUCUUCCAUCGAGUCCUGGGGUAACUUGUACCCAUAAAAAUAUAGCUGUGUGUCUAGAGCCAUGUCAUGUUUUCAUGAUACUCUCAGUCAAUCCAUGAUCUAUAGAAUUCAGUCAGUCAUGUGACUCAGGAAAACUCGGAAAUCUUAGUAAUCUCAGCAGCCCAGUAAUCUCAGUAAUCUUAGUGCUCAGUAACCUCAGCAACCUCAGUAUUCACAGUCACUCUUAGUAACUUCAGUACUCUCAACCAGUCCUCAGAACUCAGUACAUUCCGUCAGUCAUUGGAAUCUAGUAAACUUAGUUUAGCUCUGCUAAACAAUACCACUAGUAUCAGUCCAAUUAAUCAGUAUCAGUUCAGCUAAUCAGUUCAGUUUAGUUAUUCAGUUCAGCUUAGUUAUUCGUUCAGUGUCCUUCAGAUGGGAGUAGAAGUUAGCACCGAGUAAACCCAAGGAUGGGAACUCACCCGCCAGUUCAGAGUGUGAUUCUUAGUAGUCAUCCUUGUGUUCCAAAACUAAGUAGCCAACGUAGGUUGAGACAUCUUAACCCGUCAAAUUAGGGUUGAUGAGAUGGCUUAACUCGUCAGUUUAGGGUUCCCACCGUUCUCAUUGAGUACC